GCCUGGGUGGCUCAGUUGGUUAAGCGACUGACUUAGGCUCAGGUCACGAUCUCACGGUUCGUGAGUUUGAGCCCCACGUCAGGCU
rnacentral:tRNA from 1 species